AAGACUAUAGACCUGCGGAGUACCUGCGGAAGGAUCAUUACCGAGUUCUCGCCCCUCGCGGGGUAGACCUCCCACCCACUGUGAUCACUACCGUCGUUGCUUUGGCGGGCCGCUGGGCCCAGCCCACCGCCGGCUCCGGCUGGCGCGUGCCCGCCAGAGGCCCUACAAACGCUGGAUAUCAGUGCCGUCUGAGUACACAUGUUAAUCGUUAAAACUUUCAGCAAUGGAUCUCUAGAUCGG
rnacentral:misc_RNA from 1 species